GCUAUAAAGAAGAAAAACUAUUUUCAACAGAACAAAAGUUAAAGGAGAUGCCCCUGACUUACAUGACGGAAACUGAUGACAUGCAAUCUUGACGGUGAUAUGAGGUUGAAGUCUGAAGAGCUUGGACUUGAAGAAAAUUAUGAGCAAGUUGAAGCAAUUGAAAAUGAUAGGGAGUAGAAGAAAGAAGUCGUUGAGGAAUCGCCUCCAGUUCAAUUACAUGAUGCAUCAAUUGACUGGCAGACAGGUAACAUAAGAAAGAAUUCACCAAGGAAUCUUCUCCAGUUGAACCACAGAAUGCAUCAAGUGACCGA